UACAGAGGUCUCAAGCGUUGUUCGGAUUCAUUGGGCGUAAAGGGCGCGUAGGCGGCGGGGUAAGUCGGGUGUGAAAUCUCAGAGCUCAACUCUGAAACUGCACUCGAUACUGCUCUGCUUGAGGACUGGAGAGGAGACUGGAAUUCACGGUGUAGCAGUGAAAUGCGUAGAUAUCGUGAGGAAGACCAGUGGCGAAGGCGGGUCUCUGGACAGUUCCUGACGCUGAGGCG
rnacentral:rRNA from 1 species